GGGCUGGUAGCUCAAUGGUAGAGCAGCGGCCUUUUAAGCCGUUGGUUCUCGGUUCGAGUCCGAGCCAGCCCACCA
rnacentral:tRNA from 1 species